AUGCAGGUACAACUUGGCCAAGUAGAAAUCAAAUGCCCCAUCACAGAGUGUUUUGAAUUCUUGGAAGAAACAACUGUUGUCUAUAACUUAACGCAUGAAGACUCCAUCAAGUAUAAGUACUUCUUGGAACUUGGCCGUAUUGAUUCCAGCACCAAGCCAUGUCCUCAGUGCAAGCACUUUACAACCUUCAAGAAAAAAGGACAUAUUCCCACCCCUUCCAGAUCAGAAAGCAAAUACAAAAUCCAGUGCCCUACCUGCCAAUUCGUCUGGUGUUUUAAGUGCCACUCUCCUUGGCAUGAAGGUGUUAACUGCAAGGAGUACAAAAAAGGAGACAAAUUGUUGCGUCACUGGGCCAGCGAAAUUGAGCAUGGGCAGAGGAAUGCCCAGAAGUGUCCAAAGUGCAAGAUCCACAUCCAGCGAACUGAAGGAUGUGACCAUAUGACCUGCUCACAAUGUAACACUAAUUUUUGUUACCGAUGUGGUGAGAGAUACCGCCAGCUCCGAUUUUUUGGAGACCACACAUCAAACCUCAGUAUAUUUGGAUGCAAAUAUCGCUACCUCCCAGAGAGACCUCAUUUAAGGAGAUUAGUGCGAGGGUCAGUCUGUGCUGGAAAAUUAUUCAUUGCACCUCUAAUUAUGGUUUUGGGAUUGGCACUAGGGGCCAUAGCGGUUGUAAUCGUUGAAGAAAUUAAGACUUACUAGGACCUCAUAAGUGGUAGAACUGGCAAUCAAACCCAACAUUUGGCUCCACAGCCUGUAUUGUUAAGUGAUACGCUAUACUGCCUGAAACAAGUAUGAGUAUCAUAGUUUAUUUGUAUUUCCUAUCUAUUGCCUUUGUAAAAAACAGAGAAAACGAUCACGGACAGGUAUGCACUGGUAGCACGCGGAUGAUUUCAUCCAGCUAAGCUGGUUGGAGUAGGAGCGAUACCAAAUGGUACACCCAUCUGUGAGUCACAUCUUGAAAAAUACUGAGAGGAACCUUCUACCAUCUCAUCUCCCAGUGAUUCUCCGUGGGCCACAAUGCCUCUAGCUAUGGUGCACUCCCAACAUGGUAUCCUGUCCUUUCCCUAAACAAAUUGCUGCUGCUUUUAAAAAAUGGUCACUUUCAUAAACUAUAAACAUCUGUAUCAUAACUCUGACCUUUGUGGUUCUUGGAAGAAGACACUUUAAGAACCAGUUAUCCUCAGAAUUCUUCUGAGCACACCUCUUCUGAGAACUGCUUGGACUGUCUUUGAACUCUACACCUCCUUCCAGGCCAUCUUGUGAGACUUGGUGUGAAUAGCUGAAGUCCUAUCUGUACCAACAAGCAAGGCCACUUUUCAGAAGAUAAGAGUUCACUGAAUGCACCUAUUAUAAUCUGUGGCCCCAGCAGUAUAAUUUCUUUAUCUUUCCAAUGUUAUAAUUGCUAAAAGUCUCAAUGUCCAAAAGGGAAUGAAUGAAAGUAAAUUAAUGAGAAGAAUACUAAGUUACUGAAGUGUAUAUGUGUAGGGGUGUGAAUGUGUGUGUAUAUAAAUAUGUAUUAAAACUAGGCCCAGCAACCUUGUACUUACCCAGUUCCAUACUGCUACACUAUUUUUCCACAUUUUUGUAGACCUGUUGAAAGAUGAUGGUUCCUUUGUGGACGUAAUUUGGCAAUGUAUUAAAUUAAAGUCAACGUAGACAACAGGCUAUUUUGAUGCU